rnacentral:rRNA from 1 species
UAAGGAAUAUUGCGCAAUGGAUGGAAGUCUGACGCAGCAACUCCGCGUGAUGGACGAAGGUCUUCGGAUUGUAAACAUCUUUUAUCCGCGAAGAAAAGUUUAAGAUUGACGGUAGCGGAUGAAUAAGCUCCGGCUAAAUAUGUGCCAGCAGCCGCGGUAAUACAUAUGGAGCGAGCGUUACUCGGAAUCACUGGGCGUAAAGGGUGCGUAGGCGGUUAUAUAAGUCGCAGUUUUAACUUCGGGGCUUAACCUCGAUUGUGAUAGCGAUACUGUAUGACUUGAAUACUUGAGAGGUAAAUGGAAUUUCCGGUGUAGCGGUGGAAGCGCAGAUAUCGGAAAGAACACCAAUGGCGAAGGCAGUUUGCCGGCAAGAUAUUGACGCUGAGGCACGAAAGCGUGGGGAGCAAACAGGAUUAGAUACCCUGGUAGUCCACGCCGUAAACUAUGGACAUUAGUCGUCGGC